rnacentral:rRNA from 1 species
CGUAACAAGGUCUCCGUAGGUGAACCUGCGGAGGGAUCAUUACACAAAUAUGAAGGCGGGCUGGAACCUCUCGGGGUUACAGCCUUGCUGAAUUAUUCACCCUUGUCUUUUGCGUACUUCUUGUUUCCUUGGUGGGUUCGCCCACCACUAGGACAAACAUAAACCUUUUGUAAUUGCAGUCAGCGUCAGUAACAAAUUAAUAAUUACAACUUUCAACAACGGAUCUCUUGGUUCUGGCAUCGAUGAAGAACGCAGCGAAAUGCGAUAAGUAGUGUGAAUUGCAGAAUUCAGUGAAUCAUCGAAUCUUUGAACGCACAUUGCGCCCUUUGGUAUUCCAAAGGGCAUGCCUGUUCGAGCGUCAUUUGUACCCUCAAGCUUUGCUUGGUGUUGGGCGUCUUGUCUCUAGCUUUGCUGGAGACUCGCCUUAAAGUAAUUGGCAGCCGGCCUACUGGUUUCGGAGCGCAGCACAAGUCGCACUCUCUAUCAGCAAAGGUCUAGCAUCCAUUAAGCCUUUUUUUCAACUUUUGACCUCGGAUCAGGUAGGGAUACCCGCUGAACUUAAGCAUAUCA